rnacentral:rRNA from 1 species
UACGUAGGGUCCGAGCGUUGUCCGGAAUUAUUGGGCGUAAAGGGCUCGUAGGCGGUUUGUCGCGUCGGGAGUGAAAACACGGGGCUUAACCCCGUGCCUGCUUCCGAUACGGGCAGACUAGAGGUAUGCAGGGGGAGAACGGAAUUCCUGGUGUAGCGGUGAAAAUGCGCAGAUAUCAGGAGGAACACCGGUGGCGAAGGCGGUUCUCUGGGCAUUACCUGACGCUGAGGAGCGAAAGUGUGGGGAGGCGAACAGG